UCCCCAGGAUGCUGUUGUAGCACAACAGUAUCUAAAAGACUAUCAGACGUUUGUUGGGACGGCUCAUUACUGGACAAACGCAUUCGCCAGAACAUAUGGUGUCGAGGAAAAGGUGCAGAAGCUUGUGGAGAUGGGAUUUUCUGAAGCUUUGGUGAGAAGUGCUCUCGAGAGUGUUGGUGGUGACGAGAACUUGGCUCUGGAGAAGCUCUGCUCCAGUUAAUAGAAGCUGCGCCAUAAGUUACUGAUCACUUGAUUCAGCAUCUAUAUAUUAUACUACUCUACUACUAAAACAAAAUUGUGAACUAAAAAUUUUACACUUUAAUGUCUAUUCCACGGUGAAGAAGUUGCAGUUGAUUAUUGUUA